rnacentral:rRNA from 1 species
ACUAGAGUUUGAUCCUGGCUCAGAUUGAACGCUGGCGGCAUGCCUUACACAUGCAAGUCGGGACGGCAGCACGGGCUUCGGCCUUGGCGGCGAGUGGCGAACGGGUGAGUAAAUACAAUCGGAAACGUGUCCUGGAGUGGGGGAUAGCCCGGCGAAAGCCGGAUUAAUACCGCAUACGCUCUGUGGAGGAAAGCCGGGGGGAUCUUCGGACCUCGCGCUCAAGGGGCGGCCGAUGGCAGAUUAGGUAGUUGGUGGGGUAAAGGCCUACCAAGCCGACGAUCUGUAGCUGGUCUGAGAGGACGACCAGCCACACUGGGACUGAGACACGGCCCAGACUCCUACGGGAGGCAGCAGUGGGGAAUUUUGGACAAUGGGGGCAACCCUGAUCCAGCAAUGCCGCGUGUGUGAAGAAGGCCUUCGGGUUGUAAAGCACUUUUGUCCGGAAAGAAAGCAUCUCCGUUAAUACCGGGGGUGGAUGACGGUACCGGAAGAAUAAGCACCGGCUAACUACGUGCCAGCAGCCGCGGUAA